AAAAUCAGCGAACUCGCUGGGUUGGGUGCGGCCGGCAAUCCACAAGUCCGACGCCGGCGUCCUUGCGAGAUAUCCACCUCCUCCCCUCCGCCGCCCCUCCCGUACAUGUCCUGGCCGCGCUCCCUUGGCCGGCGACGACAUCCUCGGUCGCUAAGGCGGUCGAUUCUGGGGAAGCGCAACAUCGGCGCCCUCUUCCCGGCCCGCGGCGCCCUUGGCCUCACCACUGAUUGAAGAUGGUGCUCGCCGCCCUCUUCGCACGCAAAGAAGCCCGAGGUAUUCACAGUGGUCCGGGUGCGUUGCGUGGCGGUCAUCGCGUCGCGGCGCCCGUGCUGGCUCGGCGGUGGCGCAUGAGAUUGGAGGAGGCCGACGAUGUGAGGCGUCGCCCGCGCGUCGUCUUCUCCCGCGUCGGUCCUUCGCGGUGGUCGUCCUCGGCAUCCAGACCGUGGUGGACUGCGAGCUGGACAGGAAUUCGUCCCUAGCGACAAGACGGGGUUCGGCGUGCAGUUCUCGUCGCAUAGGGGUUCAGCGGCGAGGUGGCCACAACAACCAGGGGGCCGGCGCUCGUGCGGGUGCCAGGAAGGUGUGCCUGGGCUCUGGGCGACUGCCUGGUGGGUGGUGGCCAACAUUGGGUCACUGAGCGAGUGCCAGCUCUCUGAACAAGACACCGACAGGCUCCCUGUAAGGUACUUGCCAGCCAUCGGCACAUGCGGCGCCAGAUGUUCACUGGCUGUAUCUUAAGAAGGUGGCCUAGUUCAGCAGCAAUUAUGAAUGCUCGCUGAUCGCGUGUCAGCGAGUUGAUUAAUUUAAAGUACGCUUGCUGUGAGCAUCUCUACCCUGACGAUGAUGAAGACCUGAGCUGCAAGCACAAGUUUAAGACCUGGCGCAGCAAGAUUGACGGCACAGACCUGGAUUUCAUGGCGAUGCGUGAUUAGAAGUUGCUAUGAUCAGCUUUUCUCCGGUGUUUACUUGAAUUUGUCAUGUUUUAGACUAGCUGUUUUUAUCGAGUUUGGUACUAGUACUGUUUACUUCAAUUUUUCAUUCCGUUUGAUACAGAGAUCUUGUUAUUUAAUACUCCCUCUAGUCUGAUAAGAUUGA